CAAGUCGAACGCGAAAGCUCCCUUCGGGGAGCAAGUAGAGUGGCGCACGGGUGAGUAACACGUAGGUAAUCUACCUUUGGAUGGGGAAUAACAACCGGAAACGGUUGCUAAUACCGCAUAAUGCAGCGGCACCUAAUGGUGACAGUUGUUAAAGCGGGGGAUCGCAAGACCUCGCGUCUAAAGAGGAGCCUGCGGCGGAUUAGCUAGUUGGUAAGGUAACGGCUUACCAAGGCGAUGAUCCGUAGCCGGCCUGAGAGGGCGGUCGGCCACACUGACACUGACAUACGGGUCAGACUCCUACGGGAGGCAGCAGUCGGGAAUUUUGGGCAAUGGGCGAAAGCCUGACCCAGCAACGCCGCGUGAAGGAUGAAAUCCCUCGGGAUGUAAACUUCGCAAGAACGGGAAGAAUAAGUUGGUGUGAAUAUCACCAGCGAUGACGGUACCGUUUGUAAGCUCCGGCUAACUCCGUGCCAGCAGCCGCGGUAAUACGGGGGGAGCAAGCGUUGUUCGGAUUUACUGGGCGUAAAGGGCGCGUAGGCGGCCACCGCAAGUCGAUUGUGAAAUCUCCGGGCUUAACUCGGAAAGGUCAACCGAUACUGCGGGGCUAGAGUGCAGAAGGGGCAACUGGAAUUCUCGGUGUAGCGGUGAAAUGCGUAGAUAUCGAGAGGAACACCUGCGGCGAAGGCGGGUUGCUGGGCUGACACUGACGCUGAGGCGCGAAAGCUAGGGGAGCGAACGGGAUUAGAUACCCCGGUAGUCCUAGCCUUAAACGAUGGAUGCUUGGUGUCUGGGGUUUUAUAGUCCCCGGGUGCCGUC
rnacentral:rRNA from 1 species